UGUAAACAUCCUUGACUGGAAGCUGGAGUUUGGACAGUGAGGGCUUUCAGUCGGAUGUUUGCA
rfam:Larimichthys crocea isolate SSNF unplaced genomic scaffold scaffold3, whole genome shotgun sequence.